rnacentral:sRNA from 1 species
GUCCGGAAGUGCUUAGUUUUAAGGGUUGGAACAGGCUUGCGCGCCCAAGGGCGCCGAGCUCAGCAGAUCGCUU